rnacentral:rRNA from 1 species
UAGGGAAUCUUCGGCAAUGGACGAAAGUCUGACCGAGCAACGCCGCGUGAGUGAAGAAGGUUUUCGGAUCGUAAAACUCUGUUGUUAGAGAAGAACAAGGACGUUAGUAACUGAACGUCCCCUGACGGUAUCUAACCAGAAAGCCACGGCUAACUACGUGCCAGCAGCCGCGGUAAUACGUAGGUGGCCAGCGUUGUCCGGUUUUAUUGGGCGUAAAGCGAGCGCAGGCGGUUUCUUAAGUCUGAUGUGAAAGCCCCCGGCUCAACCGGGGAGGGUCAUUGGAAACUGGGAGACUUGAGUGCAGAAGAGGAGGGUGGAAUUCCAUGUGUAGCGGUGAAAUGCGUAGAUAUAUGGAGGAACACCAGUGGCGAGGGCGGCUCGCUGGUCUGUAACUGACGCUGAGGCUCGAAAGCGUGGGGAGCAAACAGG